rnacentral:rRNA from 1 species
AUUGAACGCUGGCGGCGUGCUUAACACAUGCAAGUCGAGCGGUAACAGGCGUAGCAAUACGUGCUGACGAGCGGCGAACGGGUGCGUAAUACAUGGGAAUCUGCCUUUUAGUGGGGAAUAACCCGGCGAAAGCCGGGCUAAUGCCGCAUAAGAUCUUCGGAUGAAAGCGGGGGAUCGUAAGACCUCGCGCUGAUAGAUGAGCCCAUGCCGGAUUAGCUAGUUGGUGAGGUAACGGCUCACCAAGGCGACGAUCCGUAGCUGGUCUGAGAGGACGGCCAGCCACACUGGGACUGAGACACGGCCCAGACUCCUACGGGAGGCAGCAGUGGGGAAUAUUGGACAAUGGGGGAAACCCUGAUCCAGCGACGCCGCGUGUGUGAAGAAGGCCUGCGGGUUGUAAAGCACUUUCGGUGGGAACGAAAUAUGCCGGGCUAAUACCCCGGUAGGCUGACGUUACUCAAUGAAGAAGCACCGGCUAACUCUGUGCCAGCAGCCGCAGUAAUAC